CAAGAGCGUAUAUUAAAGUUGUUGCAGUUAAAAAGCUCGUAGUUGGAUUUCUGGUAUAAUGCGCCUGGCCCGCUCCGUUUCGGAGUGAGUGCCGGUGCGCGUUUGCCAUCCUUCUAGAAAACGUUUCUACCCUUCGCUGGGCCGGAUUCGCGAUCUAGAUCUUUUACUUUGAAAAAAUUAGAGUGUUUAAAGCAGGCUUUUGCUAUGAAUACAUUAGCAUCGAAUAAUAAUCUAGGACUUCGGUUCUAUUUUGUUGGUUUCUAGUACUGAAGUAAUGAUUGAUAGGGAUAGUUGGGGGUGCUAGUAUUGACCGGCCAGAGGUGAAAUUCUUGGAUUCGGUCAAGACUAACUUAUGCGAAAGCAUUCACCAAGGAUGUCUNCUUUAA
rnacentral:rRNA from 1 species